rnacentral:rRNA from 1 species
GGCGUACAGCUCAGUAACACGUAGCUAACCUGCCCUAUAGAGGGACAUAUCAUCGGGAAACUGAGGGUAAACCCCCAUAGGUAACGAGUUCUGGAAUGACUCGUUACCGAAAGUAGGCUANGGGAAUGGCUCUAGCCUAGCUCUANGAUGGGGCUGCGGCCGAUCAGGUAGUUGGUGAGGUAACGGCUCACCAAGCCUGUGACCGGUGCGGGCCGUGAGAGCGGGAGCCCGGAGAUGGACUCUGAGACAAGAGUCCAGGCCCUACGGGGCGCAGCAGGCGCGAAACCUCCGCAAUGCGCGCAAGCGCGACGGGGCUACCCCGAGUGCCAUCUUUAUGAUGGCUUUUGCCUAGUGUAAAAAGCUAGGCGAAUAAAGGGGGGGCAAGACGGGUGUCAGCCGCCGCGGUAAUACCCGCUCCCUGAGUGGUGGGGACUUUUAUUGGGCUUAAAGCGUCCGUAGCGGGCCUAGUAAGUUUCCCGUUAAAUCCAGUGGCCUAACCACUGGCUGCGGGAAAUACUGCUAGGCUUGGGGGUGGAAGAAGCCACCGGUACUCUUAGGGUAGGGGUAAAAUCCUCUGAUCCUAAGAGGACCACCAGUGGCGAAGGCGGGUGGCUAGGACACGCCCGACCGUGAGGGACGAAAGCUGGGGGAGCAAACGGGAUUAGAUACCCCGGUAGUCCCAGCUGUAAACGAUGCAGACUAGGUGUAGGAGUGGCUACGGGCCACUCCUGUGCCGAAGGGAAACCAUUAAGUCUGCCGCCUGGGGAGUGCGGCCGCAAGGCUGAAACUUAAAGGAAUUGGCGGGGGAGCACCACAAGGGGUGGAUGUUGCGGCUUAAUUGGAGUCAACGCCGGAAACCUUACCAGGGGAGACAGCAGGAUGAAGGCCAGGUUAAAGGCCUUGCCAGACAAGCUGAGAGGAGGUGCAUGGCCGUCGCCAGUGCGUGCCGUGAGGCGUCCUGUUAAUUCAGGCAACGGACGAGACCCCUGCCCNUAGUUGCUACCAGAUAUGAAAGUAUCUGGGCACUCUAGGGGGACUGCCGCCGAAAGGCGGAGGAAGGAGGGGGCCACGGCAGGUCAGUAUGCCCCGAAUCCCCUGGGCCGCACGCGACAUUCAAUGGUAGGGACAGUGGGUUCCGACCCCGAAAGGGGAA